rnacentral:tRNA from 1 species
GGUUGUUUGGCCGAGUGGUCUAAGGCGCCGGAUUCAAGUCCCGGUCUCGAAAGAGGCACGAGUUCGAACCUCGUAGCAAUCA